rnacentral:lncRNA from 1 species
UAUGGCUGCUGCCCUACAUGUCCUCAGAUAUCUUAAGGUCAAUAUGAAUUUGGGUCCCUUCUAUUCUGACAGUUCUAAUUUCUCUAUAAAUGCUUAUUCUGACAGUGAUUGGGUUGCCUGUCCUGAUACUCACAGGUCUGUUACUGGUUUUUGUGUUAUUUUGGGCGGCAGCUUGAUUAGUUGGAAGUCCAAAAAAUAGCCUGUCGUUUCUUUAUCUUCUGCUGAAGCAGAAUAUAGGGCACUCAGUAAUGUGGUAGCUGAAUAAUUUUGGCUUUCCCGUUUACUCACUGACAUUGGUGUUUCUGUUUCUCUUCCCUUUUCUGUUUUUUUUGUGACAACCAGGCUGCUACACAUAUUGCCAAGAAUCCUAUUUUUAAUGAGCGGACCAAGCAUAUUGAGGUAGAUUGUCACAUUGUUAGAGAUCAGUUGACUGGUGGGCUCAUUACUCUCUCCCAUGUCUCUACUUCUCGUCAGCUGGCUGACCUUCUCACCAAGCCUUUGCCUGGCACUAUCCUACAUCCUCUGCUGGUCAAGUUGAAGGUGGUCUCCCCCUCCAACUUGAGGGUGGUUUGUGUUGACUGGUGGGCUCAUUACUCUCUCCCAUGUCUCUACUUCUCGUCAGCUAGCUGACCUUCUCCCCAAGCCAUUGCCUGGCACUGUCCUACAUCCUUGCUGGUUAAGUUGAAGGUGGUUUCCCCCUCCAACUUGAGGGGGGGUGUCGAGCUACAAGAUUAUCUAGCUUCCAAACCUAAACAUAAACAUAUAUAUUGAUUUUGUGUUGUAUAUUUAGUGUAUACUGUUUGUAUAUUGUGUAUAUAGGUUUGAGUUGCUUUUGGGCCAAACAGAAUCUGAGCC